rnacentral:rRNA from 1 species
ACGGCGAGUGAACCGGGAAAAGCUCAAAUUUGUAAUCUGGCUGUCUUCGAUAGUCCGAGUUGUAAUCUAUAGACGUGUUUUCCGUGCUGGACCGUAUCUAAGUCCCUUGGAACAGGGUAUCAAAGAGGGUGACAAUCCCGUGCUUGAUACGACCACCAGUGCUCUGUGAUACACGCUCUACGAGUCGAGUUGUUUGGGAAUGCAGCUCAAAAUGGGUGGUAAAUUCCAUCUAAAGCUAAAUAUUGGCGAGAGACCGAUAGCGAACAAGUACCGUGAGGGAAAGAUGAAAAGCACUUUGGAAAGAGAGUUAAACAGUACGUGAAAUUGUUGAAAGGGAAACGAUUGAAGUCAGUCGUGUUCUUUGGAUUCAGCUAGUUCUUCUAGUCUACUUCCAUUGAACGGGUCAACAUCAGUUUUGUCCGGUGGAUAAAGAUAGUAGGAAUGUAGCUCCCCCGGGAGUGUUAUAGACUAUUAUUGCAUACACUGGGUGAGACUGAGGACUGCAGCUCGCCUUUUGGCCGGUCUUCGGACACGUUCGAGCU